CAGUAGCCGCGGUAAUACGAAGGGUGCAAGCGUUACUCGGAAUUACUGGGCGUAAAGCGUGCGUAGGUGGUUGUUUAAGUCUGCUGUGAAAGCCCUGGGCUCAACCUGGGAAUCGCAGUGGAUACUGGGCGACUAGAGUAAGGUAGAGGAUAGUGGAAUUUCCGGUGUAGCAGUGAAAUGCGUAGAGAUCGGAAGGAACAUCUGUGGCGAAGGCGACUAUCUGGGCCAUUACUGACACUGAGGCACGAAAGCGUGGGGAGCAAACAGGAUUAGAUACCCCCGUAGUCCCUGUCUCUUAUAC
rnacentral:rRNA from 1 species